rnacentral:piRNA from 2 species
UGGAAGGUUCCAACAGACUCUUACUU